rnacentral:rRNA from 1 species
ACUACGCCUAUAUGAAGUCGGAAUUGCUAGUAAUCGCGGAUCAGCAUGCCGCGGUGAAUACGUUCCCGGGCCUUGUACACACCGCCCGUCACACCAUGAGAGUCGAUAACACCCGAAGCCUGUAGUCUAACAGCAAUGAGGACGCAGUCGAAGGUGGGAUUGAUAAUUAGGGUGAAGUCGUAACAAGGUAGC